GGUGGGUUGGCCGAGAGGCGAGGCAACGGACUGCAAAUCCGUGUACACCGGUUCAAAUCCGGUACCCACCUCCA
rnacentral:tRNA from 3 species